UACGAAGGGUGCAAGCGUUACUCGGAAUUACUGGGCGUAAAGCGUGCGUAGGUGGUUUUUUAAGUCCGUUGUGAAAGCCCUGGGCUCAACCUGGGAAUGGCAGUGGAUACUGGAAAGCUAGAGUGCGGUAGAGGGUAGUGGAAUUCCCGGUGUAGCAGUGAAAUGCGUAGAUAUCUGGAGGAACACCGGUGGCGAAGGCGGCAUCCUGGACCAACACUGACGCUGAGGAGCGAAAGCCAGGGGAGCAAACGGG
rnacentral:rRNA from 1 species